rnacentral:misc_RNA from 1 species
GGGAGAAUGAUGCAGGAAUAGAAGUUUUUCAAAAGACUAACAUAAAAAUACUGUUUAUUUGUUAAUACUGCUGUAGCAGCCUUAAAAUCACAGUUAUUUGUCUUUUCUUACUCUUGUUAUUUUGGGCAUCUGGGAUAACACUUUGUCAUGAAGACUAGGAUCUGAUUUUAUCAGGGUUUUAAGGAUAUAAAUAUGGCUAUAAUAAGUGACCACACUUUUAUUACAUUUGAUCAAGUGCUUUCACUUAUUAUAAUUUUCUUUUAUUUAUUUUUUUAAGCAAAGAAAUUCAAACACAGUACACACAGGGAACCACAGGACUUGGACCAUCAUUUUCUCCAGCAAAAGCAUAACCCCAUUUUAGAUCCAAUAAUAAGCCCUAUAAGCAUCCUAACUAGUUGUGGGUUAAUGGGGCUCCCACAAAGAAGUAGUAGUUUAAAUGACAUAGAUUACUUAAUCAUAUAACAUCUCUCGAGAAAGACCAAGAUGAUAACCACUAUCACUACAUAUUAGUUUACUUGAAAAUUUAUAUAGCUAUCAAUAUCACCAGUAGAAUUGCAAAAAUAUUCUCUCAUAACAGUCAAAUUCGAUCAAGGUCUAUGAUAACCAGAAGC